UACAGAGACUGCGAGCGUUAUUCGGAUUCACUGGGCGUAAAGGGUGCGCAGGCGGCCGUGUGUGUGGGGCGUGAAAGCCCGGGGCUUAACCCCGGAAUUGCACCUCAAACUACAUGGCUAGAGCAUUGGAGAGGGUAGCAGAAUUCAUGGUGUAGCAGUGAAAUGCGUAGAUAUCAUGAGGAAUACCAGAGGCGAAGGCGGCUACCUGGACAAUUGCUGACGCUCAGGCACGAAAGCGUGGGGAGCAAAAGGG
rnacentral:rRNA from 1 species